rnacentral:piRNA from 1 species
UGAUACUGUAAUUGGAGCUAAGGCGUUG